CUAAAAGAACAACUGCUUCUAGCUGUUGUUACUUUCACUAAAAUAAAAAAAUCUAAGACAGAAGAAAAGCUUUGUUGAUCCACCCUGAUGAUACAGAAGCGAAAUUGCGGGAGCCGCUCAAGGGGGCCGUUCACAGCGGAGGCAAACCCAGAAGGACGAAGAACCAGGGAGAAGAGGAAGAAAAUAAGCAGCGAAGACACGAAUUAAUCCAAGAGAAGUGACCGUACGGUGCAGCAGUUGCAAGCCGAGCCGCGCAGUGGGGACUCUUCCAUCCAAUCUCUCGUAACCUGCGUGUGCCCCAGAGCCGGUGCGCUUAGCCUGUUUCAGCAGUUUUGAGGGGUCAGCAGCGUCAAGGAACGGCGAUUUGCGUGAUCUCCUCUGUUAUGUGUGUGCCUCAAAAGAAUGUUAUUUUGCUUGAAACGCAGCAAAGAGAAGCAUUCUUGAUGUGGCAGAGGUCAUAUCCACAUCCCCCGAUCUCUAAAUUGUAACGUAAUUUAGAAGAUGAAGAGCACUUCGGGAUUAUAAAAAUCUGGGCAAGGCUGAAGUUGAUUCCUUAUUUCUAGUCUUUGUAUUCAAGGAACGCAUUCAUAAAAAACAAAUAAAAUUAUAAGUAGGAGAUGAACCAAUUUAGAAA